AUUGAACGCUGGCGGCAGGCUUAACACAUGCAAGUCGAGCGGAGAUGAGGUGCUUGCACCUUAUCUUAGCGGCGGACGGGUGAGUAAUGCUUAGGAAUCUGCCUAUUGGUGGGGGACAACAUUCCGAAAGGAAUGCUAAUACCGCAUACGCCCUACGGGGGAAAGCAGGGGAUCUUCGGACCUUGCGCUAAUAGAUGAGCCUAAGUCGGAUUAGCUAGUUGGUGGGGUAAAGGCCUACCAAGGCGACGAUCUGUAGCGGGUCAGAGAGGAUGAUCCGCCACACUGGGACUGAGACACGGCCCAGACUCCUACGGGAGGCAGCAGUGGGGAAUAUUGGACAAUGGGCGGAAGCCUGAUCCAGCCAUGCCGCGUGUGUGAAGAAGGCCUUUUGGUUGUAAAGCACUUUAAGCGAGGAGGAGGCUACCUGGAUUAAUACUCUAGGAUAGUGGACGUUACUCGCAGAAUAAGCACCGGCUAACUCUGUGCCAGCAGCCGCCGUAACAC
rnacentral:rRNA from 1 species